AGCUGAACCAGCGAUUGACGACUUAAAACGCCGUAUCUACCACUUCACCGACUCCUUGCACCGCUGGGUUUUAAGCUGUGAGGCGUGCUCGAAGCUUUGCGUCGCGGAUACUCCAGUUAUGACCUCAAAUUCUGCAAGCACGGUUACCAGGCUAGCACGACCCAUUGGUGCUCCUGGAAUGCAUUUCCUCCGCCCCGCGGCCAUUUCAUUCCUUCUCACGCAUGAGCUGUCACGCUUGACGCAAACGCUUUCGCUGCUGUGUGAAGUCGCGCCUGCAGUCAAGUUUUGUUUUGUUUGUGUGCGCCUGGAUAAUCAACUGACUGCGCCAAUCAACCGGAGGACAACGAAGCAACGGUCGUCGCCACGUGCCUCCCAGCUAACCUACAAGGUGACUCCCGUGCAACCAAGUGACCGUGGCACUACUCCGAGGGACAACGGAGCAACCGUCGUCGCUACGUUCGAUCUUCGGCAGUUAUAUUCACCAGGUGCGAUUCUAGCUUGCGAGGGUGGCGCGGCUAUUAAAUCAACUAAUUGGCAAUGUUAACUGUUUGACUGAUUGGCAAGAGAAGGCUGCUGCCACAUUGGGUCGUCGUCGUGACGGAAGCGAAGAGGACUGGGUGGGGCGAUUGUAGCUUUAGGCUUAGCUAACACUAGGAAAGGCAGCUCGCACUGCGCAGGCUCCAGCUGGCAGGGGUCCUCUCUCGUUUGCGACACGGACAUCGGCCCAUUCCGAGUGCUAUUGCUUCCCGGUCAUAAUUUCGCGUGUCGGCGCGCGCCAAAUUCGCGUGUCGGCGCGCGCAAAAUGUGAAAGUAAAUUGCACCCGGAAUUAAUUAGUGCCAGGUUUCUUCCAGCGAAACAGAAGAAAAACAGACGUUGCCUACGGUCUGCAGCGCGGCGCGCUGCAGCGAAGACGGUGGUGGGUGGCCAAUUUUCUUUUUUUUUCUUCCGUAUGUUCUCGUCCCUAUUUUUGUGUCACGCCGUGCGAUCGUCGCUCGACAAGCCAACCACCGUUGACUAGUCCCAUCGCCCAAUCCAGCGCGACGACGCUUGUCUUGGUCGGCAACCUGUGCCUUGGCCCCAGGCACCCAGUUCCUGCACCCGACCGUGUCUCGCACAGAUGACGUUUAGCACCUAUCGUCCAGCAGCUGAUCGUGUCUUCACUUCUGUUCCUGCCCCACUGCUAUUGUGUCCUGGUGAAUGAAGCUGCCUGCAAUCCCCGCCCUGCAGAACGUCCACUGCACUGCCAAACGCACUCGACGGAUUUUGCUGCAACCGGCCGUGUCUCGCACAGAUGACGUUCAGCAGCUGAUCGUGUCUUCACUUCUGUUCCUGCCUCACUGCUAUUGUGUCCUGGUGAAUGAAGAUGCCUGCAGAAAGUCCACUGCACGUAAGCCUUGUCUCGUGCAGAUGACGUUCAACACCUGUCUGUCGUCCAGCAGCUGAUCGUGUCUUCACUUCUGUUCCUGCCUCACUGCUUUUGUGUCCUGGUGAGGGAAGAUGCCUGCAAUCCUCGCCCUGCAGAACGUCCACUGCACAUAAUCUGCAACCCUACAUCUGCGGCCCAUCAAGGUUGUCCCACCAGCGUAGUAGGCAAUGACACCAAGUACAGACCGCAGGGAGGCAGGCGUUGCUAUCGCCACUCAUCACAUUGCUGCUCCCGAAGGCGUCGUGCUGCCGGAAACGUUCUUCGCUGCGUCGACGAAGCCAUACAACUAUGAAGUCUCAAGAAACAGCCCGACGUCGCGUGACAUGAAUGAUCAACUAACAUCCCGGUUCGAGUUGUUCGUUCCACCCCAUAGCAGUGCGACGGCCACUCGAUGAAGUCGCACGUUAUUCAAGGGCUGUGACCGUAUGAUGUGGGUGGUGAACAAUCCCAGGUAACAUGCAGUUCUAGCUCAUCGUAGUAGUACAAUGCUCAGACUCUAGCAUUAUGUUGAUCUGGGGUUCUUGCUUCUUACGUUCAUUGACAUUCUGUGCUUUUGUAAUGGUACACUGAUGCUGGUUUGCGUUGCGGAAUUGUGUGUGUGUGUGUGUGUGUGUGUGCGCGCGCGCGUCCGUAUGGGAGUGUGUGUGCGCUCGCGCGUCCGUAUGGAGUGUGAUAGUGUGUUGUGUGCGCAUGCUGCUGCGCGUAUUUCAUCUGGUCGUUAACAUCAUUCUGGCGGGGGUGCGUUUCCUAUUCAACCACGAAUUGUUUGACUGGUUUCUUGCAAUUGGUGACAUCCUUCAGUAAGCUCGUUGAAUGCUCAGUAGUGAUGGUUGCAAAUUGUUUCGGCAACUCUUGCAACGUACAACUGGUCCACUCGCAUAUUUAGUUUUGGCAAUUGUCAAAUUCUUUGGUAUUCCAAGGCAUUUCUGUCGGUAUCUUUUCGUUAUUCUGAUGUUCUUGGUCUUUCAAGUGACUCAUCAUGGACAAUGCAAAACAGCAUCAAUGUACCAUAACAAAAAGCAGGCGUUGGGAAUUAAAGGCAUUAAAUCUUAUUGUCAUUAGCACAUCGUUUGAAAUCUGGUGCUGGCAUGGCACCAAGCUCUUACAUUUUUUACCUGUUUGCUGUCAUUAAUGAUGCUGGUAAUAAAGCAGUGUACCACUCUCAAGGCAUGGCAGGUUCUCGAUCACUCUUCGGACAACACGACCACACAUGCCUGCUGUCUUCAACAGACAGUUUUGCCACAGUUCCGUUUGUCCUACAUGAGUGUUCACUGCCCUGUGUAAAUUUACCUGCCUGUGUUUAUUUAGUGGACAUUUCUAUGACAUGUAUUUGCUGAACGAUAUUCUCUGGAACUGAAUAAAAUCGCGAGGAUAUUU